GCCUCUGUGGACUCUGGGAGUCACCUCGGCUCUUUAAACUGUGAACAUCGUGCUUGUCGAGGAGAUGGGGGUUCGAUUCCCUCCGGAGGCU